CACUCCUACGGGAGGCAGCAGUGGGGAAUAUUGGACAAUGGGCGCAAGCCUGAUCCAGCCAUGCCGCGUGAGUGAUGAAGGCCCUAGGGUUGUAAAGCUCUUUCACCGGUGAAGAUAAUGACGGUAACCGGAGAAGAAGCCCCGGCUAACUUCGUGCCAGCAGCCGCGGUAAUACGAAGGGGGCUAGCGUUGUUCGGAUUUACUGGGCGUAAAGCGCACGUAGGCGGACUAUUAAGUCAGGGGUGAAAUCCCGGGGCUCAACCCCGGAACUGCCUUUGAUACUGGUAGUCUUGAGUUCGAGAGAGGUGAGUGGAAUUCCGAGUGUAGAGGUGAAAUUCGUAGAUAUUCGGAGGAACACCAGUGGCGAAGGCGGCUCACUGGCUCGAUACUGACGCUGAGGUGCGAAAGCGUGGGGAGCAAACAGGAUUAGAUACCCGUGUAGUCCCA
rnacentral:rRNA from 1 species